rnacentral:rRNA from 1 species
UACGGAGGGAGCUAGCGUUGUUCGGAAUUACUGGGCGUAAAGCGCACGUAGGCGGCUUUGUAAGUUAGAGGUGAAAGCCCGGGGCUCAACUCCGGAACUGCCUUUAAGACUGCAUCGCUUGAAUUCGGGAGAGGUGAGUGGAAUUCCGAGUGUAGAGGUGAAAUUCGUAGAUAUUCGGAAGAACACCAGUGGCGAAGGCGGCUCACUGGACCGGUAUUGACGCUGAGGUGCGAAAGCGUGGGGAGCAAACAGG